GCCGUAGCAGCGCUGCACAUGAGUGGACUGUUGCAGGCUAUGCCACAGGACUGCCCACCCUUUGACAGGUACUGCUGAUGAUACUCCUCAGCUCUGUAGAAUUUCUUAGCUGGUAGAAUCUCAGUCAUGAUCUUACUCUCCAUUUGUUUCUGGUGACGUUCCAUUGACUCCACCGCUAGUUUCUCCUGCUCAGGUGUGUAGAAGUAUAUCCCUGAUCUGUAUUGGGUUCCCACAUCUUUUCCCUGAUCACACUUUUAAGUCAUUAGCCACGGUAAAAAAUAGUCAAGGGAUAAUUUCACUACAUAGAUAUGUUAUUAUAAUAAGUAUUGUUCUCUAUCUAAAGUCUUAAAACUUUAAAAAUUUAGCAACUUCAACGUAAAAAGUUUAAAUCUUUGGACCAAGUUAAGAGAAACCCAUAAUGUACCUGGCGAUUCAAGGUGGUGGGGUCAUGUCUAGACCAGAAGACAUCAAGCAGAGACUCAAAGUUGCACUCUUUGGGAUCAUACUGAACCCUGACAACCUCUGCAUGGUUCGUUGUGUUCGUGCAGACAUCCUCGUAUGAAGGAUUGUGGAGGAACCCUUGGGUGUAUCCAACCUCCGUAUGAUUCACACCGGAGACUCUCUGAAACGCCAGCUCCACGCCCCAGAAGCAUCCAGCGGCGAACUGUGCAAACUCAUUUCCCGGCGCCGGAACGUCAUUGUCGUUUCCCUGAGUGAUAGCAGAAAGAUUCAUCGCUAAGUUUUCUAGAGAGAUUAUUAGAGUUUAUGUAUAUUUUUUUGAGAAUGGAGUUUAUGUAUUUGCAUCUAGAUACACUCCAUACAUGACCUAUAUAUACCACCUGUAUAGCUAACCAUGGAGUGUAUAUACUAUGUGUUUCCGUCCAGAUACACGAUCUAUAAAUACCACAUGCCAUAGUUAUCAUUUAAGACGAUAUUAGAGUGUAUAUGCUAUGUAAUUCCAUCCAGAUACACUCCAUUCAUGAUCUAACUAUAGAUAUCACGUGCUAGAUACAGUUAAAAAGCAUUAGAGUGUAUAUCCUUUGUAUUUCCGGCCAGAUACACUGCAUACAUGAACUAUAAUUACCACCUGUAUUUUUUUUUUUGAACUAGAACAACAGCUGUCUUGUUUUUUUUAUCUAGAAUAACACCUGUAUUGUUUUUUUUUGACCGAAAGACUAAUAACACCUGUAUUGUUAACAUUUUUUUUUUGUUAAGUAUGUGAAUUUCAUUAACUUAAUAAUGAGGCAUAGAGAUACAAUGGACUUCGACUGAUCUAAUCCUAUUGAAUCUAAGUCGCUAAGUCAACAAGACAAAGCAAUGGAGCCAUAGUAAGCCACAAAAAAAGUAAAAAGACUCACUAAGACUAAGAAGGCUCAGUCACAACCAUGAGGCUGCGAGAAAGCUUAGCUAGUUUAAUAGAUCCUAAGACAACCAUUUAGCUAACAGGAGACCAGAGAGAAGAUCUUGAAGUCGGCACCUGCAUCAAGAUCACUCGGGUCAGUAGAGAAUCGCAACCGGAGAACAGUCCGAGGAGCCGCAGACUAUCCCGAAGGCGACAUCAAAAGAAGGACAGGCGAAGCAGGAUUGGCAAGCCCUGGUCCGGCCAUCGCAAGCAAAUGAAGUCCACUCCAGACGUUGCUAUCUCAAGAAACUGCUACACCAUACUCUGAGAAUCCUAGCCGAUGUAGAGAAACCGGUAUAUGAAGCUAAGGUGAGUACUUGCAGGUGGAAGCAGAGGUUUAAACGGCUGGACUCUGGUCCCACCACACAAGCAGAGCACGAGGGAUUCCGGCCACAGAACACCAAGAGAGGCAGAGGACAACAACCAGCUUCCUUCUGAAGCUUGAAGAACAGAGGAACAAGAGCUCCUUACAGCAGGCGAAACAGGAGGAGAGACCCAUCAUAGGAAGUCAGAUGAGCAGAGUAACGGCACGAAACUCCAAUCCAACCCAAUCCCAAACAGAUCGAAACCAAAAGAAACACCAGGUGGUUGUCGAGGAACCAUUACCGAAAAAGAAGUCCCCGACGGUGAGCCUCGAACCGUCUUUUCAACUUGGAACAAGAGGGGGAAGUUCUUACCAAAGCAUCGCAAGCGGAGACAGGGGAGAGACAGAGGAGGCAGUAUACUGACCAGAACGGCGAAGGCAGCGACGCAAGGCCACUCCGGCGAACCCUCCAGGAGAGAUCUGACCCAGAUCUACUCCGGGCGAAACCCUAGAUCUACCAGUUUGACGACGCCUCCAGCUCAGAUCCGGCUCACCACGACAUCGCCAUCUCUCCAGGGAAGCUGAGGACACCCACAGCCACCGGUUUGAAUCGCCUGGUCCGGCCGCAACCCAGCGAUAAACAGAGGAGAUGAAGCAAGGAGGAAGUGGAAGAGACCGAAGCAUGAGAGGGCAGAGGCUAGGAAACGGUGACGAAACGGGGUGGCGACCGACGGGUAGAGACCCUCCGUCGGCCACCGGAACGAGAGGCAAGAGGAGAUGUCGAAGCGGAGAGUUGGUGGGGAGAGAAGAUCGAGAGAAAAGACUCUCUCACCUCUCUCUAACUUCUGCCAAACUCUAAUUCACUAUUGUUAACAUUAAAAUGAACAUUGGAGUGUAUAUACUCUGUCUGUCCGUCCAGAUACACUACGAACUAUAACGAGAGAGGUGCAGCGAAACGGAACACGGGUCUUAGUAUUACUGUUCGUUGCGUUCGCGUUUUGGUAGCGAUCGCGAUUAGAAACGGCGAGUUUGAAUCGCUAUGGUAACUGAACUUGGAAAGUGACAAAGGUCCAGCGUAUGCUAAGUUGAACCAAGAAGUUUAGGUGGAAAUCUAACCAAUAUUGUUUAUAUCUCAACUGAUUAUUUAUUUGUCAUCCAAAUGGAAAAAAAAAAAUAGUAUGAAACAAAAUUUAAUAUGCAACUGAAUCGAUCAUGCACCAGUUUAAUGUAAUCAAAAUGAAAUUAAUUUUGUAAACCGAAAUUAAAUUGUUCAUAUGUAUAGAUAACUAGAGAAAACUUUAAAUAUAUUUUAUUAUCAUUUCUUACAAUAUAUUUAUCCAAAAUUACACACCACCAACAUUUUUGGUUUCUGCUUAGUCAUAACUCUUCAAGCCAAUUGAACCAAAACAACAAAAAUAUAUCAAACCAGGCCGAAUACUCACUUUAUUCACUCUCGUCGUACGCAUUUAAAUUAGAGAAUAUAUUUAUAUACUAUGUCUUAAAAAAAAGAAAAAAAAAAUAUAUAUAUAUAUAUAUAUAUAUUUACACCAGUAUUAUAUGCUCAAUUCUUUGUAGGAGCACAUUUUAUAUUUAUCAAUAGCAUUUAAAUGGUGCAGAUACGAGUCUUACUGCACUCAGAGCAUGAGCAGCAGCGAACCUUGCAAUUCCCGAUUUCCAAUGUUUUUUUUUAUUAUUUUAAUUUGUUUUUUUCGUUUGAUUUAAAAAAAAAAAUAUAAACGAAUCUAUCGCGGGCCGCCACGUGUCGUGGGGUCCGCAGAACAGUAACGAGACGAUAUCACUCCAGCGAACCUGCACGAGCCGGGUUCAUUAAAAUUUGAUUAUUUUAAUAUUUUUCUGCCUCAAAAAUCGUGUGAACUCUAGUCUUGAUUCUUCAAUGCGGAUGGUCUCAAUUCAUUAAGGCUCUAACCUUCGACCACCCUAUUGCCGAGCUCUACGGCAUCAUCGUAACUGACAUUGAAGCUGUUGCUUUAUCCUUUGAUUUUGUUUCUUUUACUUGGAUCUCUCACGAGUCACGAGAGAAACAUAGAUGCGGAUUUAUUGGCUAAACAUGUUUUGUCUGCUGAGUUUAAGGCGCUGAGUUAGCCUUAGAGCACCAUUAACCUAGCACCCCAAGUGGGGUGCUUAUUUUAUUUUUAUUUUUUAGUUUUUUGUCUGAUUUUUUUUUUAAAAAAAAAAAUUAAAAACGAGCCAAUCACGGACCGCCACGUGUUAGUGGGGCCCGCGAAACAGUACAAGAUCCAACAAAACCCGACGCUUAAUCUGGCGUCUUUGACGUCGCUGCUUCGUCUUUUGCCGUGGAGCCCACCCUUUAGCACUUCUCUAAGCGUCCCCGUUAAUCCUGCUCUUAAUGGCCUCACCAAACAAUGGUUAAAAACUUAAAAUAUUGAAUGAAUGAAAGUAAGUGUUUCAAAAGAAAAAUAGUGUAGAUAUACUUGGUUUUUUGUCAAAUAGAACAUAUGUGUUACUUAUUGUGAAUGAUUAAGAUUAAAAUCUACUAAGAUAGAAGAUAUUUUACUAAUUAAGAACGAUUGAAUAAUUAGAAAUCUUAUUCCUCAUCAAAAGAGCAGAGCUAUCGACAAAGUCAUUUGAAACCGCAUCCUAUCUCUGAACUACUCCACAACUCCAAGGCUGCACGGCUUACUCAGACGUUGGUAUCUUAUCCCCGGCAACUGAUAGCUAAGGCAUUAUCUUUCAUUGUUUGCUCUUUCCAUCUGUAAAUGACUAUAUUGUUUUAAAUUACUCAAUAAAUUUGAAAUUUCAAGAAAAUAGUUAGAAAGCUUAAAAAAAACAUACACAUUUUUAGGAAACAUACACUUUUGUGUUCGCAUUCAGUUUGAAGUUUUCAAAAAAGUUGUUAACAUUUCUACAUCUUAUUAUGCACUGAGAAAUACAAAUCAACAACACACACAAGCAAACAAACAAAAAAGGAUCAGUUGCAGCCUUGCAGGUGUAUCUACUAACUUAGGCUCUUCUUGAGCUAUCGGAGAAGGAACAGUUGCAAGUAAAUCUACUAACUCAGGUUCUUCUUUCAGCAUCAAAGAAUCCAUUUUGAUAGAUCAAUAUGUGAAAGAAAGGAUGGGACUAGUGAUUUUCUUAAAGUGUUGUAUUGUUGUUGAUGGUGAAGCAAAUGGCAAUAAGAAACCUUAUUCAGCAUAUUAUUUUUUCAUCCAUAAGAUUCGCUCAAAUCUAAACAAUCAAUAAUUCAACAACAUCAAUAGACAUCUUUAUAGUCUCUAACAUGAAACAAGAAAGUAACUUGUUACACUUAUUAGGGAUUUGGUUGAUGUUCAUAUUGUGCAACAAACAAGUCUCUAACAUCCUCUGUUUUGGGAGAGGAAACUCAGCAUUUUUAAGCCAUAGCAGCGCUGCACAUGAGUGGACUGUUACAGGCUAUGCCACUGCAGGACUGCCCACCCUUUGACAGGUACUGCUGAUGAUACUCCUCAGCUCUAUAGAAUUUCUUAGCUGGUAGAAUCUCAGUCAUGAUCUUACUCUCCAUUUGUUUCUGGUGACGUUCCAUUGACACCGCCGCUUGUUUCUCCUGCUCAGGUGUGUAGAAGUAUAUCCCUGAUCUGUAUUGGGUUCCAACAUCUUUUCCCUGAUAACAGUUCAAGUCAUUAGUCACGGUAAACUACAUGUAUAUCAUGUUACACUUCACAUCAUCAAAUGUUACACAUUCGAUUUGGUAUUGCAAAUGAAUUGAAUAACUAGCAGAUUAAAAAAAAAAAUAAGCAUUGAUUUUUUUGUGUUAUGUUUUCAGUUUUAAGUUUUUAAAAAAGUUGUAACAUUUCCACAUCUUUAUUAUGAAAAUCUUAGAAUUACAAAUCAACAACACAAAAAAAAAGUCUUAAAUCGUAUAAAGUACCUGGCGAUUCAAGGUGGUGGGGUCAUGUCUAGACCAGAAGACAUCAAGCAGAGACUCAAAGUUGCACUCUUUGGGAUCAUACUGAACCCUGACAACCUCUGCAUGGUUCGUUGUGUUCGUGCAGACAUCCUCGUAUGAAGGAUUGUGGAGGAACCCUUGGGUGUAUCCAACCUCCGUAUGAGUCACACCGGAGACUCUCUGAAACGCCAGCUCCACGCCCCAGAAGCAUCCAGCGGCGAACUGUGCAAACUCAUUUCCCGGCGCCGGAACGUCAUUAUCGUUUCCCUGAGUGAUAGCAGAAAGAUUCAUCGCUAAGUUUUCUAGAGAGAUUAUUAGAGUUUAUGUAUAUUUUUUUUAGAGAAUGGAGUUUAUGUAUUUGCAUCUAGAUACACUCCAUACAUGACCUAUAUAUACCACCUGUAUAGCUAACCAUGGAGUGUAUAUACUUUGUGUUUCCGUCCAGAUACACGAUCUAUAAAUACCACAUGCCAUAGUUAUCAUUAAUUAGAGUGUAUAUGCUAUGUAAUUCCAUCCAGAUACACUCCAUUCAUGAUCUAACUAUAUUUAUCACGUGCUAGAUAAAGUUGAAAAACGUUAGAGUGUAUAUCCUUUGUAUUUCCGGCCAGAUACACUGCAUACAAGAACUAUAAUUACCACCUGUAUUUUUUUUUUGGUAAAAAAACAACACCUGUAUUGUUUUUUUUUUCUAUCUAGAAUAACACAAGUAUUGCUACCAUUAAAAAGAACAUUGGCGUGUAUAUUCAAUGUCUGUCCGUCUAGAUACACUCCAUACAUGAACUAUAACGAGAGAGAUGCGUUUUGGUAGCGAUCGCGAUUAGCAACGGGGAGUUUGAAUCGCAAUGGUCACUGAACUUGGACAGUGAAAAGUUAAGGUCCAACAUGUGUAUGCUAUUCGCUAAACUGAACCAUAUAAAGUUGAACCAAGAAGUUUAGGUCGAAAUCUAACCAAUAUAUAUAUCUCAACUGAUUUUAUUAUUUUGAGAAGACAUAGGAAAAAUUCCAUUUCUCUUGUCACUAUGGAUUCCGUAGCUUCACCGUCAAUCAACCCCUUGUUUUUUUUGCCAUGGAAACACAAAAAUAGGCUUUUCUAAAACCUAAAUCUUUCAUAUUUACGAACAUUUUAUUAAAAAAUAAAAAACUUAUUUUAUUAUUGUCAUCCAAAUGAAAAAAAAAAAUAGUGUGUCACAAAAUUUAAUAUGCAACUGAAUCGAUCAUGCACCUAGUUUAAUGUAACCGGAAUGAAUUAAUUGUAAACCGAAACUAAUUGUUUUUUUUUUUUGAGAACUCGAAAUUAAAUUGUUCAUAUCUAUAGAUACUAAAUGAUAAAUUUGUUGACAAAAAAAUGAUAAAUUUAAAUAUACUUUAUAUUUGUUUCUUACAAUAUAUUUAUCGAAAAUCACAGACAGAAUCAAACCACCAAACAUUUUUGGUUUGUGCUUAGUCAUAACUCUUCAAACCAAUUGAACCAAAACAACAAAAAUAUAUCAAGCCAGAGAAUAUAUGUACACUAUGCCUUCAAAAAAAAGAAUACAUAUAUAUACACUCCUUCUAUGUAGACGCACAUUAUAUUUAUCACUAUAAAUAUUAUACGAAAACAAUAUUUUUGAAGUAUAUAAAUGGUGUAGAUAUAUUUUUUUUUUGUUAAAUAUAAUAUGUGCUACUUAUUAUGAAUGCUUAGGAAUAAAAAAAAUAGAAGAUAUUUUAUUAAGUAUGAUUAAAUAGUUAGAAAUCUUAUUCCUGAACAAAUGAGCAGAGCUAUCGACAAAUUCAUUUGAAACCGCAUCCUAUCUCUGAACUACUCCACAACUCCACGGCUGCACUGCUUACUCAGACGUUGAUAUCUUAUCUAUGGCAAAUGAUAGCUAAAGCAUUAUGUUUCAUUUUUUGCUCUUUCCAUCUGUAAAUGACCAUAUUGUUUUAAGUUGCUCAAUAAAUUUGAAAUUUCAUGAAAAAUAGUUAGAAAACUUAAAAAUAAAAACAUACACAUUUUUCGGAAACAUACACUUUUGUGUUCGCAUUCAGUUUGAAGUUUUAAAAAAUGUUGUUAAAAUUUCCACAUCUUAUUGUGAACUGAGAAUUACAAAUCAACAACACACACAUGCUAACAAACAAAGAAGGAUCAGUUGCAGGUAAAUAUACGUAGGUUCUUCUUGAGCUAUCAAAGAAUCCAUUUUGCUAGAUCACCAUGUGAAAGAAAGGAUCAGAUUGGUGAUGUUGCGUUGUAUUGUUUGUUGAUGAUGAAGCAAAUGGCAAUAAGAAACCUUAUUCAUCAUCAUAUUAUUUUUUCAUCCAUAAGAUUCACUCAAAUCUAAACAAUCAAUAAUUCAAUAGACAUUUAUAUAGUCUCUAACAUGAAACGAAAGUAACUUGUUACACUUAUUAAGGAUUUGGUUGAUGUUCAUAUAUAUUGUGUAACAAACUCGUCUCUAAACUCCUCUAUCUUGGGAGAGGAAACUCAGCAUUUUUAAGCCGUAGCAGCGCUGCACAUGAGUGGACUAUUACAGGCUAUGCCACAGGACUGUCCACCCUUUGACAGGUACUGCUGAUGAUACUCCUCAGCUCUGUAGAAUUUCUUAGCUGGUAGAAUCUCAGUCAUGAUCUUACUCUCCAUUUGUUGCUGGUGACGUUCCAUUGACUCUGCCGCUUGUUUCUCCUGCUCAGGUGUGUAGAAGUAUAUCCCUGAUCUGUAUUGGGUUCCCACAUCUUUUCCCUGAUAACAGUUCAAGUCAUUAGCCACGGUAAAAGUAGUCA
rnacentral:lncRNA from 1 species